GAGUCGGAAAAUUAAAAUUAAGGAACGAAAGGAUUCCUUACAAUUCAAUAAGGAGGCGGUUGCAAAAAAUGGCAUCUACUCUAUAAAACCAGAUUGCGGAAAUUAAAUUAGAUGCGAUUGCAAUGCAAAAUUCAACAAGGGGGAACCUCAUGCAAAAAAGACCCAGAAUCAACAUGACUACUUGAGAAAUUACCCUAAACGGAUUGCACAUUGUAAUGCAACUGAGAUACAUGCAAAGUGUCCAGAUUUUACUUCAUUACGCCUAUGAGCCACAGCUUAGUAACAAGACAAAGAGUAAGGACGCAAAAAAGACUUAGAUUCAGCAUCUGGGGCAUAGAGCUGGACAAAAUGAUACAAAAAUGCAUAGAAAAAAAUAAUUAUAACACAGCAAGCCAAAAAAGAAUUGUAUCUGAUCAAUGUUGAUUCAAUUUUGGGUUGUGGCUUCUCUUGCCAAACUUGCCAAACUAGAUUUCAUCUAAGCAUUCAUAAAAAAAAUUCCACCCCUGCAUGGCAGAUAAAAAAUGACACAAACUAGCAGCAACAUUAAUAUGAAUAAAUGGAAAAAAGGGCAUCCGUCACCGAGAACUCGCGUUCCAGCAGCCGCCCCAAUAGAGUGUUAAACAAAAACAACACAAAGAUGGUGAUGCGAAAAUGAACCAUUACACAACAUUGAAGUCCCAGUGAUUUUCAUAGCGCCAUAUCUCUAAGAACAAGUGUUCUAACACCACUAACAGAAACCAUUACAGUACUUUGGUUUCAAAAGCGAAUCCAUUACAUAAAAUAAAGCUAGAUAGCACAUGAUUUCAUCACAUGUGAGGUAGCUGCAUAACAAAAAAGAUGAGCAGAGUUUCUUAACACAGACCACAGACUACUAGGCGAGACCUUUCCUUGAAGAUAAGGAAAGAAAUGUGAUUCUUUUCCUGCAAACAAGUAAUAUGGAUC
rnacentral:lncRNA from 1 species